AUGUUUUGCGACAGUCGAAGUAAUUUCUGAUAGUCAGCAUUUCUUCAAAAUUUAAUUGAUGUUGGGGUUAUUCGUAAUACCAAGCACCAGAGCGAUUCGUUAACUGAUUGCAGAUUGCAGUGCCUAUGCGUAACUCUAACCUUACGUUUACUGCAUUACGGACGUCUACGCUACGCAGAGUUAAGGCAUUGAGACAAUUCUAGCGACCUGUAAGACUUCCACCAGGUUCUGUGAAGAGAUUCCAUCUUCGCCGUAUACUGACGGUAUUUACCGGCCGAAUCGGCUGUAAUUUUUUGUAAUUACACUCGAAACCACAAUAAAUAUGAUGAAAAAAGA